rnacentral:lncRNA from 1 species
ACUAUGCAGGGCGUGCGCAGGGUGUGGUGCGGUACGGUCUUCUAUACGAUAGUUGAUCUGAGUGCCUUUCCUUAUCCGUUUCACCUACUUCUGGAGCCCGUACCGAGCGGGCGUCCUCGGUCGGUCCCGACCACGUUGGUCGGGGGAGCGGUGUGAGUCGGUCCAGCAUAUCCCCGGUCGGGGGAGCUCGGUCGGAGUUGGAUUGUGGUCCCGGCCCCGACCAGGCCUUCUGGUCGGAGGCACGGUCCGUGGACGGAUCAUGGUCUCGGCCUGGCGUUGCAUAUUUGGGCUGGCCUAGGUGUGCAGUAUCGUUGCGUCUCUUUUUGGGCCAGGCGUUGUGUAACGACCUAGAUUUAAAUCAGCCGAGCUUACUCUUAAGACAAGUUCCCUAAUCCAGUUGACUCAGCUUUUCUUGAGCUAUACCGACUUAGUCUGGUUUUCAGCCCAACCUAGCGCCUUAGGGAGGGUUUAUCCUUGGUAAGACGAGCUGAACACCCG